CAGUAGCCACGGUAAUACAGAGGGUGCGAGCGUUAAUCGGAUUUACUGGGCGUAAAGCGUGCGUAGGCGGCUUCUUAAGUCGGAUGUGAAAUCCCUGAGCUUAACUUAGGAAUUGCAUUCGAUACUGGGAAGCUAGAGUAUGGGAGAGGAUGGUAGAAUUCCAGGUGUAGCGGUGAAAUGCGUAGAGAUCUGGAGGAAUACCGAUGGCGAAGGCAGCCAUCUGGCCUAAUACUGACGCUGAGGUACGAAAGCAUGGGGAGCAAACAGGAUUAGAUACCCGAGUAGUCCCUGUCUCUUAUAC
rnacentral:rRNA from 1 species